rnacentral:misc_RNA from 1 species
AACUUUUGACAAUGGAUCUCUUGGUUCUCGCAUCGAUGAAGAACGCAGCGAAAUGCGAUAAGUAGUGUGAAUUGCAGAAUUCAGUAAAUCAUCGAAUCUUUGAACGCACAUUGCGCCUCCCGGCAUUCCGGGAGGCAUGCCUGUCCGAGCACUAACACGAAAUGCAGUGAGGCCGUCAUAUGGCCUCGUGGUGGGGGAUGAGUGGCGUGCCGUCCGGCUCGCUCUCACCCCUGAAAGCAAAUGGUGGAAUGCACUGAAUGCCCCGGCGUGAUAACAACGUUUCGCUAGGCGUCUCGGUCGCACUCCCUCCGCAAAAGCGAGACAAAACUUUGAUCUCGGAUCAGGUAGGGAUACCCGCUGAACUUAAGCAUAUCAAUAAGCGGAGGCU